rnacentral:rRNA from 1 species
AUUGAACGCUAGCGGCAGGCCUUACACAUGCAAGUCGAACGAGUGGCGGACGGGUGAGUAAUGUCUCGGAACGUGCCCGGUAGCGGGGGAUAACUACUGGAAACGGUGGCUAAUACCGCAUACCAUCGGAUGGGCCGAUAACGGAUUAGCUAGUUGGUGGGGUAACGGCUCACCAAGGCCACGAUCCGUAGCUGGUCUGAGAGGAUGACCAGCCACACUGGAACUGAGACACGGUCCAGACUCCUACGGGAGGCAGCAGUGGGGAAUUUUGGACAAGGGGCGAAAGCCUGAUGCAGCCAUGCCGCGUGUAUGAAGAAGGCCUUCGGGUGGGAAAGGACUUUUAGCGGGGAAGCGGUACCUGCAGAAGAAGCACCGGCUAACUACGUGCCAGCAGCCGCGGUAAUAC